CCUACGGGUGACAGCAGUGAGGAAUAUUGGUCAAUGGGCGUAAGCCUGAACCAGCCAAGUCGCGUGAGGGAUGAAGGUUCUAUGGAUCGUAAACCUCUUUUAUAAGGGAAUAAAGUGUGGGUCGUGUCCUGUUUUGUAUGUACCUUAUGAAUAAGGAUCGGCUAACUCCGUGCCAGCAGCCGCGGUAAUACGGAGGAUCCGAGCGUUAUCCGGAUUUAUGGGGGUUAAAGGGUGCGUAGGCGGCCUUUUAAGUCAGCGGGGAAAGUCUGUGGCUCAACCAUUGAAUUGCCGUGGAAACUGGGAGGCGAGAGUAUGUGUGAGGCAGGCGGAAUGCGUGGUGUAGCGGUGAAAUGCUUAGAUAUCACGCAGAACCCCGAUUGCGAAGGCAGCCUGCCAAGCCAUGACUGACGCUGAUGCACGAAAGCGUGGGGAUCAAACAGGAUUAGAUACCCGAGUAGUC
rnacentral:rRNA from 1 species